UACGAGGGGAGCAAGCGUUGUUCGGAUUUACUGGGCGUAAAGGGCGCGUAGGCGGUCGUGACAAGUCACUUGUGAAAUCUCCGGGCUUAACUCGGAACGGUCAAGUGAUACUGUCGGACUAGAGUACAGAAGGGGCAACUGGAAUUCUCGGUGUAGCGGUGAAAUGCGUAGAUAUCGAGAGGAACACCUGCGGCGAAGGCGGGUUGCUGGGCUGAUACUGACGCUGAUGCGCGAAGCCAGGGGAGCGAACGGG
rnacentral:rRNA from 1 species